GUUUCAGAAUAACAAGUCUCAUUGACCUUUGACUCAUUCCCAAGGUCACCUUGUGUUUCAUGAGUCACUUUCACGUUUUCGCGUGAAUUCAAUGUCACUUUAGAUUUCAAUAGUUUCACAUUUAUAGCAGUGUUUAUAGCAGUAUUGAUAAGCUUUGAUACAGAUAGAUUCUCGUUAGAUCUGGCACUGAACACGAUUUUGCACCGUUGUACUAGACCCGUGAACAAGGUCUGUGACGGUAACACGCUGGCUACCUCCUUGCCUUUUUCUUCCAUUGCAUAAAGCUCGCUGGCAAGUCAAGCGAUUGGCGAUAACACGUGGGCUAUCUCCU